ACUCAUGCAUGCUGCAUAAGCUUGCUAGAGAGACUCAAACCUGCACAACUUGUCCCCUGAAAUGUUAUAGACCUGUCGUAUGUGAGUGUGUGCCAUGCUGCCUCCAAGUGCUAUGCAAACCCGCUGCCCUGCAGAUAGAUCAGAAGAGACCGCAAUCAAUCAAAGCCAAAGGUGGUAGAGGGUGGUCGCUGCCUUCACUUCUGUCUAACCUCAGUCUGGUCAAGAUUCCUCUGACCCAAGACCAGGAGCAGAGAAUCGAUCAUGUUGUCAAUGUAGAGCAUCAUGCCGUACAGAGCCAUUGCACAAGGAGACCUGGUUUCUACUCCAGUUCCACCCUGGACAACGUAGUAGCUGUGGCAAGAUGCCAGGUGCCUCUGGAAAUCCAUCAUUCCAAGGAGACUUCAGCAUGACUACAGCACCUGGAAGGAAGGGGGUGGGACUUCCUUCCUUUCCUUCCUUUCCGGAGACCUGACUUUUCACCCUUGCAGGUGCAUCAAGCCCGUGUAUGUGCCCAAACAGGCAAAGUCUCUGGCAUGUAGGUAGGUUUUCAGUGAAAAUGUAAUUGAGCUGAACACCGAGACAGGUAUUAAGUCUUCUGAAGUUAGUUUUGUUUUCAUAUUCUGUUGAGAUCCAGAAAUUCAUUUCUACUUUGCAACAUCUUUAUCUUUCCGGCUUUAAAGUGGAGCCCACAGUUCUCAACUGUUUCAGAGGACGUGGUUGAAAAAACGGCUCCCGCCACACAGGAAAUCCAGUAGCUUUGCUGUUAUUGCAAUUCAAAACAGGAUAAUGCCCAAGGAUAGGAGUUGGAAUGACUCCUUGUGUUUACUAAAUUGACUUUAAGGAUUCAAUGCGAAUCAGCUUUAUUGAUUAUGAUUUUUGUGUAACAGAAGUCAGUGCGUUUGUUAGGGUACUGUGCAAUUUAUUGAAUUUUGAGGCAUGCAUCUGCCCACAUAUCCUGGUUAGUUUUAACUGUCAGCUUGCCUAGGUACAGACAUCUGAGAAGACAGCCUCGAUUGACAGGUUGGCCUGAGGGCUUGUCUGUUUCUGAUUGUCUUCAUUAUUCAUUGACACAGGAAGGCCAGCUCAUUGUUGGCAGCGCUGUCCCUUGUCAGGUUAUUGUGGGUUGAACUAGAAAGCCACUGAGCCUGUGAGUGGGACAGUAGGAAGACCAAAAUGCAGUGUUCCUCUGUUUUCCUGCCUCCAGGUUCUUGCCUUGACUUCCACACAGUGAUGGACUGUGGCUUGGAAUUGUAAACUGAAACAAAUCCCUUUCUCCUAAGUUGCUUUUGGUCAGAGUGAGGGUUUUUGUUUUUUUUCUUUUUUUGUAUUUUUUUUUUCUUCUGUUUUCCUCGAGACAGGUUCCUGGCUGUCUUGGAAAUCACUAUGUAGAUGAGGCUGGCCUAUGUAGACGUAGAGAUCUGCCUGCCUCAGCCUCCCAAGUGCUAUGAUUGGAGGUGUUUGCCACCAUGUUUGGCUUGGUCAAAUGUUUUUAAUCACAACAGAAUAAAACUAGAACCAUUGCAACUACGCCAUAAGAGAGCACAUUGCAAUGACCCUGAGAGUCCCUGAAACCUUGCUAGUCAGUUGUCCAUCCUGGCCUCAUGUAAAUGCUGGCUUGCUUUAGCAGUAUUGUAUUUUAUAAAAUAUAUUUUUUCAUGAUAAAAAAUGCAUACUGAUUAGAGAAUUCAGAAAAAUAUAAAAUAUUUAAAUGUAUUUUCUUUCCGUGUGUGUGUGUGUGUGUGUGUGUGUGUGUGUGUCUUCCUGUAUGCACAUGCCCACAAGCAUGCUAAUGACUUGGGUACGGAACAGAUGCAGCUUCCCCAGUGAUUGUUUAAUUUAUCUUUAAUGAUUGCACUUGAAAUAAUUAUUUUGUUCAUAGACUUUCUGAUUUCUUUAUCUUAAUUAAUGAUGCAAAUUAGGCCCACCAUUAACCUGCAUUAUUAUUAAGAAUAGUUUUUUAAAUUACAGCUCUAUUCUGUUGUUGCUAUUACGAAGAACACCACUGAGGUCUACUGAGUCCAGUGUAAUUGCCUCAUGCUUGCUGACUUUUAAGAAUCGUGUUACUUCCUUGCACCCCUCCCAUUUUCUCAGGUGUUCUACAUGUAGGGUAAUCUCUUCUGUGCGGAAUAGAUUCUUUGCUUUCAUAUUUCUGUGCUUAUUUAUAAUCUAUUGAUUUCAAGAAUUAUAGCUGAAGCUAUGAAUGGUAGUAAUUGCUAUUCUUAAAGUAUCUACAUGCUUCCGUAUGUGUGCCGUGUGUGUGUGUGUGUGUGUGUGUGUGUCUUGUGGGGGGGGGAGGGAAAGCAUGCAUGUACCUGUAGUCAUGGAUGUGCUUAUGGAGGUCAGAGGUCAAUGUUGGUUCUUCCUCUGAUCUUAUCCACAUUAGUAUUUGAGACACGGCUUCUUGCUGAACCUGGAGUCAUCUCUUCAGCAAGUGUGGCUGGCUAGCAAGCGCCUGGAUUUAUCUCUGCCCCAGCACUGAGAUUGCAGAUAUAGGUUGGCUCUUACUUGGAUUCUGGAGAUCCCAUCUCAGUCCUCAUGCUACCCCCAGAACACUCUACUCACUGAGCCAUCUCUCAAGCUCUAAGGAAAUGUUUUUAAUCCCUUUAUUACAAAGUCAUUAGUCCAGCCCAUUUUUUAGGCUAACAAUUUUAAUUCUAUUCCUAACUAAGACAAACAAUUCUUAGGAUUUAUAACGUAGUAAUUCGGGCACUGGUUAGAGUAAUGGGAACCUGAAGAGUCAUGAAAAUCCAGAAAUAGUAUUGAAAUAGUAUAGUAUGUUUUAUAAUAAUUAACUAUGCUUUUGCAUAUUCAAUUUGUUGACAAAGGAAAGUGUUCAUUAGUAAUUGUCAAAAUGAAAACUGGACUAAAACAUAUAUUGCAUCUCACUUUCAUAAAAAAUAAAAUUAAAUGUAGAAAAUUCCUAAUAAUAAAACAUUGAGAUAGGAGUCCUUUUUAAUAUCUUCUCCUUUUUCCAAUAUUCCUAUACUAAAUAUUUGCUUUUUGGAAAUAACUCAAUUCAUAACUAGGCAAGAAGUCAUUCCCUUGUUUCCGAAGUUAUUACAGUGAACAUAUAAAGCCAUGCAACUAUCCUUUUAUUAGCAGAGAUGUAUUUAUCUCUGUCUACUUUAUCAGUGACCAACCCCUUUCUAAGUGCACUGAAACAUUGCCAUGCUAAUUAUAUUAUGGCUGGGACCAGAGGUUUGUGCUUGUGGGGCAUGGCAGAGCUGCUCCCAUCACAGCAGGCAGAAGCAUUAUCAGGAAGAGACCAGGGCAAGAGAGAUCCCUCAGUGACAUUCUCCCAAUAGCUUAUUUCCAUUAACCAGAACCCUCCUUCCAAAGUUCUAAAUAAAUGCAUAUAUAUAUAUAUGUUAUACUUAUAGAGAGUUAUAGUUAUAGAUAAUUAUAGCUAGUUAUAGUUAUAGUAGUCUAUUUAUAGUUUGAAUCCAUCAAUGGCUUAAGCUAGACUUAAGUUAGGCUGCAGCCACUGGAUCCGAUCCGUUCUGCAUCAGUGUGAUAAGCAGGAUAAAACACAAAUCAUUUUCACCAUCGACUGUGGACUCUGCAUUCACAGGAAUCAGUUUGGACUCUUCUACCCGGCAAUUACACAGCAACUACCAAUCUGCUUUCUCAAGCUCAACUGGUGGAGUGCUGGUAGCUGUUUAGAAACUCUCUCUCAAAAACAUUUUUUAAACACUAAUGUAGCCCUUACUUUACACCAUAGCCAGUUUUGUGGUACAGUCACGCUCACCAUGGCCAAGUACAAGCUCCGACCGUGAACUUAGCAAUAGAGGUGUUCAGCCUUAGGACAACCUCUAACCUAUUAAAUAAAGGAUCGCCUGGAGAGAUGAGAAGAACCCUCUGGUAGUUGGGAGGCCUCACCCCCAUGAUGCUCCUUGAUCAACAAUAGCCUGUUUACACUCAAAGGCCUCCUUUAGCUGGAGGCACUGGGACUGGGCACCACAAGCACCCUUUCCCAUUGUAAUGCUAUCACCCAUCCUGUAGAUAAGCAGAACACAGCCACUGUGGAGCCAGUGAAGAUUAAGGGCCCUGAAAUGCAAAAGAAUUCUGGCCUGAAGAACAAUACACAGCUAUGUACAGCAGGCUGUCAGGAAAGAUGCCCCGCCCCCUGCCUGCACAGGAAGGAUGCCUUCAGGAUGCAUACUCCAGCGGCUUAUAUUCCAGUCAGCUGUUUUCUUCCCAUUUCCAUAGCUUUGUUUUAUAGAGCUGUGUCAACACUGCUGGGUUUCAGUAAUCACAGUGAAUUUCCGAAUAUGACCAAGACCCAUCUGGCUCUUUUCAAAGAGCAAUGCUAACCUGAGAAUGAGCCAGCGUCUUCCGCAAAGGACAUACAUUUUGGUCCUUAUUUAAAUCUAAGCUAUUUACACAUGUGUUUCCUCAUUCUGAAAACUAAGAGGAUUUUUAAGACAGGGUCUCACUACACAGCUGACCGAUCUGGAAUUUACUAUGUAGAUCAAGCUGGCCUCAAACACCUGGAGAUCUGCGCACCUCUGCAUCCUAAGUGCUAGGAAUAAAAGCAUAUGCUACCACAGACCUAUGGUAAGAGCAUCUUCCGAUGGGUGUUUCUACUCAGCCCAUGGUGCACAUCACUUGUCAUUAGAUGACAUGCUUUCAGUCUUAGAGAGAGGUCUGAAGGUGACCCAGAACUUGGUAAGGAGGACAUGCGCCUGAAUCACAUGAAAAGCAAUAUGAAUCAUUGUUUAGGCUUAAAGAGACAAUGCAGUGAGACCAUGCUUUGCUGUGACUUUAAGUAUGUUUGCCAGUGUACAUGUGGUGUAGGAACUUGAGAAGAAAAUGGGGCUAGACUUGGGGAAGCUGUGUCUACUCAUUCAUUCAAGAAGAGCAAUCAUGGGCGGACACAGGAACUAACAGCUACAACAGAUUUUUUAACAGGUACAAUUCUCCCUGAAGGAAGUACGCCUACACUUGUGACAGUAAUAGCCAAGAAUCAGACCACUAACUACACAGAGAGAGAACAGAGUGAAGCAAGUCAUAUCCCACCAGUGUUAAUCCUCGGGGCUAUAAUGCCAGCACCAAACAGGGACAUUUUCUGCCACAGGAGUGCUUAGGGGAGGGUCAAAAGAAGAUCAUUCCAUAGCAGGACACUAGCAGUAUACACUGUGCUGAAGCAAAACUUAGGGUAAAUGUUUAGAAAUACUUGAUAGCAAUUGGCAAAAGAACUCACUUUCCAUAGAACCUGAAGAUAUUUUUGAAAAUGAGGCCCAACUUUGUAUAUCUAUCAAAAAUUCACAUUUCUAUUGAUUCGUUUCAUUAAUCGUCUGUGCCAAAUUAAAAAUAAAAGAAUACAGGCUCUCUAUUGACAAGUAUCAAUUAGAAAAUUGUAGGUAAUCUGCUGGGGUAGGUUGAGGGUCAACAGUUGGAGGAAGGGAACACAGUGAAGACCAGGCACUCAGGGAAGGCUGCUCAAGAGGAACUGUGGAAGAUGGACGAGAUUAGAUGAGUGGAGAGGACCCUUGGUUUGCUCCUGAAGCAGCAAGUGUGCAUUCACACUUGGAUGAGUUUUUUCUGCUGUUUUGUAGUAUGCACGUUCAUCCUGCACCGAGAUCUGAGCUGGGUCAAGCGGAUGCAAGCAUGGAAGGCUGGGUCCUGUGAAGACUCUUGGGUAUGGCUCUGGCACAAUAAUUCUUUAUUAGUGUGUCACCCUUUUACCUCCCAGCAGAGUGUAAAAGCCAAGAGGGAAGGGCAGACAGCAGAUCUUAAGUAACAAUUUCAGUGGUGAAUAGAUGAGUGGGUUUUACUUUUAACACCUCAAAAUGAGAGGUCUGGGUAAAACUGGUGAUUUUUCAAACAAUAAAUCAAGAAACCUUUCCAAAAGGUAUUGUAACCCAACCAACAGACUCAAGAUUCUAUCCUUGUGUCUCUGUAGGAUUUUAUUUGAUGAAAGAAUUCCACUCUUACUUUUUAAACAUACUAUAUUAGAUUACCUCUAAGGCCUCUCCUAACUGCAUUAUUUUAUCUUAAGUACACCAGAAGGUAAAUAAUAAAGGCUGUGAAAACAUUGGCUUAGUCAACUGUAGCUGCACAGAGAGCAGGUGCAGGAUACAUAGGGAUUUUCUAGAAUAUUGGAGUUGCUGGGUCCUGCUUGGCUUGUAGAGACCUGGAAUGAAGCUCCUGACUAGGUUUCUCAAGAGAUAUCUAUUGUUUCCUAAGAGGCAUGUUGAAUUCUACAUGUCAUUAUGUCUCAGUAGGGAUGGCUACAGAGACUCCAGUGAGGAAAUAGUUUGUCCUUACACAUUAAGUCACAGCAGAGGUCUACAGCUGGUACAUUUGAUCAGGGAAGCCAUCAAGAUCCAGGUUUAUUCUUACAUGUGGUUUUUGCACAAAUGGUCCUAAGGCAGCUACUUCACUGUAGGAGAAAGGAAGGAAAGUCAAGUGGUACCAGUUGGACUUGUCAGAGUUGGUAUGCCCUGUGAAGAGGGACAGAUCGCUACGUGCUCUGUGAGGAGGGGCAAGACCAUUGGGUGCCCUUGAGCAGCACACUGACUCUGAGCCCAGCUGAGUAAGCCUUUGUUUCUGGCUUCUGUUCUCUGACUCCCUGAUUAGCAAAGCUGAUCUUGUAACAUUGUGUCAUGCAGUUAUCCCCGCUUCUCUGUUUUAAAAUUUUUAUUGAAAAUAGAUUAUUCUCUCAAAGAAUACAUCUUGACCACAGUCUUUUCCUCCCUCUAUUCCUCCAGCUUCCCCUCUCCCAGAUCCAUUCUCCCUUUAUUUCCUCUUCACAAAAGAGCAGGCCUUCAAGAGAUGGCAGCCAAACAGGACAAAAUAAGAUACAUAACAUAAGGCAAAAGCUGUCAUAUUGAGAAGUACAAGGCAACCCAAUAGGAGGAAGAGUCCCAUGAGCAGGCAAAAGAGUCAGAGACACACCCUCUCCCACUAUUAGGAGUUCCUCAAAACCACGGUGCUAACUAACAGGCAUAACACAUACAGAAGAGGACUUGGUGCAGACCCAUGCAGGCCCUGUGCUUAACACUUCAGUCUCUGUGAGCCCAUGUGAACCCUGCUUAGUUGAUUUGGUGGGCCAUGUUCACCAGGUGUCCUCCAUCCCCUCUGACUACGACAGUCUUUUUUUCUUUUUUUCAGAGCUGGGGACUGAACUCAGGGCCUUGUGCUUACUAGGCAAGCGCUCUACCACUGAGCUAAAUCCCCAACCCCCUACUACAGUCUUUAUCUCCCUUCUUCCACAGGAUUCCCAGAUCUCUGAAAGGAGGAAGCUGAUGAAGACCUCCAAUGUAGACUCUCUCUAUAUACUGUCUGGCUGUGGAGACCCCUCUCUUUGUAUAAACUUCUGCUAUAAGGCCCCAAGUGCCACACAGGAACUCUAGAACUUAAGUGGGUGUUCGAGAACCUUAUUCUCUGAGAUAAGAUCCCAGACAGUCCAUUCAGUCUUUUUAAAACUUUGAACCUUUAUCUUCUGACUUUCUAUUUGCCUCAGAAAGUGGGUGAGCCAACUCUCCACUCUGUUUAGGAGCAUUCAAAGCCACUGGGGACCAAAGCUACUGUCUGUUAUGUAUCUCUGCAGUCAUCUUUCUGAAGCAGAUGAAUGUUUGGGUAGAAAGAUUUGAUGAGGGGCUCUCUACAGAUCUCACAACAGGACACUGAAGCCCCACUAGACCCGCUUGUUAGAUUCUUAUGGAGGGAGAAGAGGCAGGAGGAUUUGUGAGGCAGGAACUUCAUUGAAUCAUCCUUUAGGCAGAAGCUUAUUCACCAUGGCAAGCAGACAAACAGGACAGUAUGAUGGAGGUCUAAAAUAACAUCAGUCCCACCAGACAAGAGAUCUAUUUUGUUAAAUUUAGCUUUUUAUUGAUUCUUUGUACAUUUCUCAUCACGCACACCAAUCCCACUCAUCUUCCUGACUCUUGGUACCAGCCCUCUGCCCUUGCAACUGCCCCACCACCACCAAAAGAGAAAGAAUCUCACUGGGAAGCUGUAGUAUGCCACCGUGUGUCCCACAGUAUACAGCUUUUCCUGCGCAUCUUUACUUGCAAAUGUUCAUUGCAAUAAGUCUUUGGUUUGUUUUCAAGGUCUUUGGCUUCUGCUGCACUAUCAAUACUGGAUCCUCACCAGGACUCUUCGGAUAUCCUGUUGUUGCCCUGUGUCACGGAGAUCUUACAGCUUUGGAUCUACAGGACCAGCCCCUUCACGGGCUCCAGCAGUUCACUGGAGGGGCAGAUGUUGGGGUUGGCCAACACCACGGCCUCAUCACUGGCUACUUACAUCAGGCUAUUCCUCACUCUCUCCAGUUCCUCCUCUCUUCAUUGUGUUCACAUCCUUCUGCUUCUUUCUCUUCUAUCUCUCCACUACUUACUUGGGUUAUUGUAAUGAUCCUGGGGCCUCUAAGUGUCUAGAGUUGUCUCAGGAGUGCUAAGCCCUGCCUGUGCAGAGUGGCAUUGGACAGGGGUUGUCUUGGGUGUCCACCUGGGCCUGCAUGGCUCUGGGCUACAAGUCAGCAAGAUGUCUACUCUUGAAGGUUUCUGAGGGAAGGUGGGGUCCUGCAUAGCAAGAAAGCCAGCUUAGUUAAUAUGUGAUCUAUAUUCUAGGACAGAAAUAACUUGGCUUCCUGACAGAGGUUACUCUUUUGGUAGGUUGGGAAGUGAAACUUGGCUAAUGUGUGACCUGCAAUUCAUGACAAUAGCCAGGCUGCCUUGAACCCUGUAAGUAACUGACCCCAGUCCUGAAGCUGCCCAGAGGAAUAUCAACUGUGAGUCUUCUCAUCAGCAUGUAGAGACCAUCGCCAACAUACGGGUAAUUCUAGGGGCUUCAGGAGCUGUGCAUGAAGAAGCAAGAGGAUAAUUAAAUUUCACAACACUGAACUGGUCUUGGGGUCAGUAAUCCUUAAGAGCGGCAAACUGAGGGAGUUCCCACAUCCCCAUCUUUUAAAUAAGGUGAGGGCCACACGGCUAAGAAGAAGCUCCCUCAGGCCCUCCCAGAAAUACAUAUGGCAGCUGCAACCAAAAUAUUCUGAGGUCCUGCUCGACUUCAUCAGACAUAGCAAGAAACCCUGAGUCACAGACAAUGCCAUUUGCUGGGAACAAAUUUUAAUGUGUCUCUAACACCCCACCCCACAUCAACCAGACUCAGGAGACAUGUAAAUUAAGAAGCUAUUAAUCACGGAACAGGCAUAUUCAUCAUUGGGUAAACUGCACCAACAAUUCCUAUAAAAGAUACUUUCUAACUCAGAAUGCAACCCAUCUUCCUAAAUCUUAUCCAAGAGAUUUUAGGAACAUUCUUGGGAACAGGGUAAAGUUGGGCUAAAGAUUCUGUUUUCUGUCCCACCUCAGUAAUUAUUAUCACUGUGUGUAGGGCAGAGUUGUAAAUCCCAAUUCUACAAAGUCUAUAAGGGGCUUUUCUAAAUUACAUGACAGCAAAAAAAAAAAAUCUGCUUUUUCUGUAAUUCUUAGAAUGUAUUGACACAGAAGCUGUCACACAUCUAAAUCCUGGGGGACUAUGUCUAUGCAAAUAUGGAAUUACUUUGUUUUCUGGUGCCAAGACCAUUGCUGCUUCCCACCCCCACCCAGGCCACACCAAGGCACGGGAAGCCAAGGAUGCACUGUAUCAGAGUCCAGGAGGGGUGAGGAGAAAUACAGGGAACAAAAAAGAACAGGAUACUUUGAAAAAAACCCGAGAUGUUCCCCAUCAAAGAAGGUCUUUUAAUUUUCAUUCCUUUUGAGAUAAGGUUUCACAGAAUAGCCUCUUUGUGAGGGAAAGAGACAUUCUGAGGGAGGGACCUUGGUGAUAAGAGACCAGUGGAAUGACUAUUUUUUUUUUUGUCUUUUUUUUUUUUUUAUUGUCUUUUUUUUUUCCGGAGCUGGGGACCGAACCCAGGGCCUUGCGCUUGCUAGGCAAGGGCUCUACCGCUGAGCUAAAUCCCCAACCUGGAAUGACUAUUUUUUAUAUUUUUGGUUGUGAGCCUAGCCUUUAAUGGCUGAGCCAUCUCUCCAGCCCGACUAUUUUUAACUAACUAACUAACUAACUAACUAAUUAACUUUUGAGACAGGGUUUCUCUGCGUAGGCCUGGCUAUACUGGAACUCACUCUGUGAGGCCAGGUGAAUUUGGGACUCUGCCUGCUUUCGCCUCCUGGGUGCUGGAGUUAAAGGCGUGUGCCACCAGCACCCAGCUGUGGAAACAGAAGCUCUGGCUGUUCCUUGAGUGUCCUACUCCCAAGGACCCACCACUAACUCUUCUUGGCCUUCAAAUCUCUUGCAGGCUACUCGCAGUUAACUUGUUUCUUCUCAGUCUCCAAAAAGCAUGUUUGCUUGUGUGCUGUGGACUUACAAUUUAUUUUUGUAUUUACUUAACUAACCUCACAGCAUCCACCAUGUUCUGUAUGUUCUAACUGCCUUGCUGGGGGUAGUUCCUUUAAUCUCAGAGCACUGCCCUGAGUAGGUAAGUGUAUUCAAUUUGAGGCUGCCACAGAAAGUAAGUUGAGUGAAUCAAAACCAGAGUCUUGUUUUCAUUCUGUCAGAAGGCCAGAGGCUGAAAUCAAGGUGUGUCUUCACCCUCCUCCCACAGUCUGAGAAGGAGCCUGCCUGCCUUUUGCACUUUCUCAUGGCUUCAGUCCCUUGACUUGGGCUACUUGUUGUCAGCCUGCCUAUCCUCACAUGUCUUUGGGUGUUGUCUGUCCUCUUCUUUUCUAAUACCACUCAUCUUUGGGUAUAAGGUCCAUGCCAUAAUCUGGGGUGACCUCUCAUAUCUAGAUUUUUAACUUCAUUACAUUUGCAAAGUUCCCUUGUCUAAACAGGGGACAGGGUCACUGUCAUAGGUUCUGGAUAGACAUCUCUGGGCAUCCACUGUCAAACCCACUACCAUAGGUUUGAGCAUUAGCCUCAGUGAGAUUAGUCCAUGUGCUCUGGGCCUUAACUCUCCUCUACCAAAUCACUCCAGGCCUUUGAUUAUCCCACUGGUCUCAUCUACAGGUCUGAGUUUCCCCCAGAUAGCUGGAAAAUUUAUCUUAACUCAGCAAUCCAAAUCAAUUCUUAUUUUGAGUGCAUGGCCUACAAACAUAGUAUUGCUAAGCAACCCCCUGGAGGGGGGCGCAGAAAGAAAAUGGAUGUUCCAGGUGAAUGUCUGGACCCUCUGGGAGGCAGAUGAAGGCUACAAUGGCGGGGCAGUUUUCACGUGUAGUUAAACACGUGCCUCCUUUUAGACUGAUCAGACAGCUCCCAGACCGAGGCUUGACCCCUCACGUUUACAAGCAGCUUCAUGCUACGUAGAAUGCUUCCUUUUUAUUAGAACAAUUAAAGUUAAUGUUUAUUAAGAGCUUGCCAGCCCUGUGAUCUAUCCUUUGAACAUUUAUCAUCUCAUGCAAUCUCCCGAUCAGUACUUUUAUAGGGUGGAUAAUUGUGUCCCCCACUUUACUAAUGGAGGAAUGGAUAUUUGGAUUAAGUGAAUUGCUUAAGGUCAGACCGCAUGUGUGGCUCGGUUGAGGUCUUCGUAGGUUACUUUAGCCCAUUGCUCUAUCCCUGACACAGUUCAGGGCUUGUUGAGUCAGACACAGAUAAUUGUGGAUUGGUCCCUAUUCUCUGGUUGCAUGUAAUGGCCUCUAGGCAUUCUGAUUGGAUGCUUAUAGAUACGUUGUUCCUGCCGACAGGCAGUCUGGAAGGUAUGUGGGUGUUGCCCUGGCUAUGGAGACAGGUGGAAGGGAAGGCACAGUGUAGGGCCAUCUGUCCUGUCUUUACCGAGAUUCUUACACUUAAUGCCAUGUAACACUUUAGAAUGUAAGCAUACCCUAUGUGCACUAUGACUGAAUCAUUUUGAAGACUUAUUUAUUCUUAUCACAUGUGCCUGAGUGUUCUGUCUGCAGGUAUAUAUGUGCACCACAUGCAUGAAGGCUCCACGGAGGCCUUUAUAAGACAUGGGAUCCCCUGGAACUAGCAUUAUAGAUAGUUGUGAGCCAUCAUGCGGGGGAUGGUAAUGAAUCCAGGCCUCUGCAAGAAUAGCCCAUGCUCUUAACUGCUGAGCCAUUUCCUCAUCUUCAACUUGGUCCCAUAGUCUCCCCCUCCCUUCCCUCCCUCCUGUACACCUACCUCCCUUGGUUGUUUUUAUACAUGAAAAGAAUCUGAAGAUUAGAAAAAUAGGCUGGACCUUACUGGUGAUGGUAUGUGCUACAUUGUGAGUGUUAGGACUUCACUGAAUUUCCACGGGAACUUCAUCUAUAUGAGAAAUGUCAUCAAAAAUACUUAAUUUUUAAAGUGCUAGCAAAAUGUCUCAUCAUUGGUGGUGACUCAUUUAAUGAGAGGAUAGCUACUAUUAUUAGAGGAGGAUGGUAUGUCAAAUUACAGUUUUGGUACUUUCCUAGCCAGGUUUUCUAACUUUUUGAGCCAGAGAUAUGGUUGGUAAAGAUGAAACAAAAUAGAUUUUCCCCCACAGAGCUUAAUCUGCUAUAAUUCCCACAUAGAAUAAUUUUCAUUUCAAAAAUACUUUUUAACUCUAAAGAUUUCGCUUGGGAACCUCUUCCAUGCCUCACGUCAUUGCAUCAAUAUUUCCCUAAACGUUUUUGAGAAUAUGACAUAUUUGUUGUUGUUAUUUUAAUAUCCUAGUUUGCUUAAUCUCUCUCUCUCUCUCUCUCUCUCUCUCUCUCUCUCUCUCUCUCUCUCUCUUAUUUCUAUGUCAGUUCCAUAUUCCAGAACCUCAUUUCAUUCCUUUAAAACAGUGGUUCUCCAUCUCAACAUGUGGGUCAUGACCACCUUGACGGUCACACAUCAGAUAUUAUAUUUUGACUCAUAACAGGAGCAAAAUUACAGCUAUUAAGUGGAAAGAAAACAAUAUUGUGGUUGAGGGUCACCGCAACAUGAGGAACUGUAUUAAAGGGCAGCAUUACGAAGGCUGAGAGCCACUGUUUUAAAGGAGUGUUGGAACUUUGCUGGUGAGCAGUUACAUCUCUCAGGAAUUCUUUCAUUACUUCAAAGUUUUAAGGGGCUUUAGGGAAGGUUAAUAGAAGCCUUUACGUCAGAUCCUUCGACUCCACACCUAUUACAGACCCCCAAAGGGCUCAAGUAAAGACAUCAGGUACUCGCUAAAUGCGUACCUCUGGCCAGUGGGAAUUUAUAAAAUGUCUAACUCCAGGUCAGCCAUGAGAAUUGUUCUGAUUGUGGUCCAGUCUUGCGGAACUUCACUUUUUAAAACCAUAGAAAAAGUUUCAGCCUGAGGUGCCAUGGGACCCCUGAGAAGUCUUCCAGAAAAUCUUCCUUAUGCAGCCCCCACCUUCAGGCAUCUUUUCCUAGCGUGUUUGAGCUGCCCUGGCUUCCUUGACUUCUAGAUCCUGUCUCCUCCAUUGGGCAAGACUGGCUGGCUCUUUUAAGAGUACACUUCCUCCAUCGCUAUUUAGGAAAUUAAUUUCUUCAGGAAGAACCUGAGGUAGUUCAAGGGCUCACCUCAUUGGUCCUAAUUCUCCAAAUCAUGAUCUCAUGUUGAUUACUGUUCAAUGUCUGGCAUUUUGUCCUAGUUGUAUCUGUGUAUGGCAGCUGGCUAAUAUAGGGCAGUCUUUUCCUUUCACAGUCAAAACCAGGAUUCUUGACUUCUGAUAUUACUCUGAGCAUCCUAAUCUCACCCAAGUAAUACUAUUCUCUUUGGUUCAGCUCUCAAAGUCAUGGCUUGUCAUUCUUUUGGAUGCCUUCAUUGAACUCUAGAGCCCUCAAAUCCUGUUACUACCACUCCAGUGAUAAAGUAAACCAACCUCCAGCUUGUCCAGCAGGCCUCAGAAUAUGUAGACCAAUGAGCGAUGGAGAACUAAUUUCAUGCAUCGUUAUGAAAACUCAGUUUAACAGCUAUUAUUGGUACCAGAGAAAUAAGAUCAUUUUCUUCUAUCAGUCCCUGGCCAAGGAUGCUUUCAGCCCAAUGGUGAGGCUUUCCAAAGCUUCACGUCCAGUGUUGGACCAUCACAUUGGUUGGCCAGCUCUAACCCUAGGAAUUCAAGGCCAUCACAGUGUAGAGGGUAGGAGACGUCUAGGAAAGGGUUAUCUGUGACCUGACCCUAUGCCUGUUGAGCCUGGUAGUGAGCAGAAAGAGGGUAGACACCAUGUGAGAGAGACACUGGGAAAGAAGAGUGAAGGAUGGUAGCUUAAUGAAGGCAGUAGGAGGUGGGCCCAAGGCUCAUAGAAUGGGAUGUGGGAAGGUGGGUCCUUGCUCCGGGCAGUACAGUUUGUGCUGUGUACCUGUGGCAUUGACAGAGGCUGGGGAAUCAAGCCUUGUGCUAUUUCCAGAGUUCACACAGAGGUUCACACAAGCUCUUUCUCAAGCUUUCAGCUGUGAGCCCACAUCCUUCCAGGUGAAUGCCUUUUCCAGUUUCACACCAGGGACCACCCGACAUUUGAACACCAGUUUCUCCACUUAGAGAGUGGGAGCCAUAAUAUGACGGCAAGAGGGGGUGUCUUAGUUAUUUUUCUUGCUGUUCUGUUAAAAUCCCUUGAUGAAUCCCUGAGGAAGGAAGAGUUUAUUUCGGCUCACUGGUCGAGGGUACAGUCUGUCAUGGCGGGGGACAACAAGGAAGCAGGAGUGUGAGGCACCUGGCCAUGUUGCACACACAGUCAGGGAGCAGGGAGUGAUGGUUGCCAGUAUGUUGCUCACUUUGCCAUUUUAUACCCUCUAGGAUCCCUGGGCAGGGAACAGUAUCAUUUGCAGAAGGAAAGUCCUCCCAUCUCAGUUAUCCUAAUUGGGGUAAUUCCCCACAGUGAGCUUCAGAUGCCCUUUUCCCAGGUGACGCGUCUUCAAGUUGCCAGUCAAGAUUAGCCACCAUAGGCGCUUAGAGAGGUGGGUUUGUGGUUGUUUUGUUUUUAGAAUAAGACACAGAUGCCCUGAAGUAACCCACCUGAAGGGCAGAACUGAAAACAGUAAUUGCAUCUGAAGUCCCUGACUCUCUCCACUGAAGCUUUGUAAGGACCUGAAGCAAGAUUGUGAGAGUUUGCUAGAGAGAAGAGAUAGAGAGAGGUUAGGACCUGGGUCACUUCCUCUAUAGGAGAGCGAGUGGACUUCCUUUGGACGAAUGUGCCCUAACCUCCAGCAUCCUUCUUUAGCCACCGUAUCUCCCUCACCAACUGAAGCUACUCUUCAGCUCAAGUUUUGUGCUUUUAAAAACCUGGAGGCCUCUAGAUCUUCGGCAUGUUCUCUGUAAGUUAACACAUUCGCUUAUACAGGCAGCAAAUGUUCAUGCUACAUGACGUCUUGGGUGAUCUUUGCUGGCAAAGGGGCUACAGCAGGGGCCAAGCCCUGGGUCAAAGUGAGGAUAGGAUAGUAAGACUGAAAGAGUAAGAGAAGAGGUAAUAAGCUGUGUUCUGUUCAGAGAGACAGCUGGCAGAGGUGGUCUUGAAAUGUGUACCUUUUAGUGCUGUGGAGACUGGAAUAGUGGGGAGCCAGGGUCUCCCUCUCACCUUGUUGUGUUCUGUCCCUAAGACACUUUAAGUCUGUCCCUCCGUCCAUCACAGUCCUGAGGAUCAUAUUAGGGUGUCUUCUUCUGUUCAUUCUUUUGUUUUGAGACUACAUUUCUUCCUGAGCCUGAAACAUGUUUAUUGCCUAGACUGACUGUUCAUCAAGCCCCUGGAUCUGCCUGUCUCCUUCACCAAGGGCUGCUCUUACUGGGGUGUACUGUGACACCCACAUUUUAUGUGUGCAGUGGAUACCUGAAUUCACAUCCUUACCCCUGCUCACUUAGGAAAUACUUUACCAGUUGAGCCAUCUCCCCAGUCUUCCAGGUGAUCUCUAAAGCCCAAAUCAAUAACUAGUCAAAAAGCCAGGCUAAAAGACUUUUGAUAUAUUAAUGAAAAUCCCUGCCUCUUGGCCUCUGGUCCUCUCGGUCCCCAGUUCCCAUCAAUAGCUUAGAGCAUAGAUUUAUUGUAUGUACAGAUAACACAAAUCUUUGAAGAUUUAAUAAUACAAAAUCUAAGUCAAAAUCUGAAAUGUUGUCAACAAGCUAUAGUCCAAACUAAGGAGAAAAAUGUAGUCAAAAUGACCAAACUCGCUGCCACUGUGUUCUUUAUUUUAAUUUGUUUUAAGUGUUGUUAACAGACUAUACCCAAUUUCUAUGGUACUUUACUCAAAAGAUAUCCAGUUAAUUUAGUUGACCUACAGUGUAACACGAACAAAUAGUUUGGAAUUGCUGCCAAAUGAGCUAAUACACAGUCAGGCUGCAUUUAGUCUAAGCACUUAACUUUGUUUGUGAAAUGGUGUUUGAGGAGGUUUUAGAAGUGUUUUCUGGAGUGGAAAGAGUUAGGUUCUAUGGCCAAUGGUACUUUGGAAAUCUGUGCUAUACAAAAUGCCAAUGUCAAGGCAGCUAAAUGAGAAAAUAGUCUACAAAUGAUCCUAAAUUUAUUGAUCACAAAAAUUUUUCUUUGAAGAACUUUUUUCCCCUUGGACCAUGAUCUGGGAGCUGCUGCUUAAAAAUCCACUAAACUGUUAGAUCAAAUUGCAUUUUGUGGAUUGUGUUUGAGUCUUGGUGCCUUAUCAACCAAGCAAAGAUAAUGUCUAGAUAGGGGUGAUAAGGCUUUACAGGCCGGGUCACCUGAGGAGAAGCUGGAGACAUGUUUAGGUGUUCUGAAGGAAGGUGACCAGUACAGGAGGAGACAACAGCCAUUUUAGACAUUUUGGGGGCAGAACUAGCCUAGUGGGUGGAUAAUUCAGGAGGUUCUUUUGGAACCUCCUUAACCUUCUUAACAGAAGCCAUUUCUUGGUGGUGACCCUGUGUACCUUAAGUUAAACCUAAUUUAAUCUCCCCGGGAAGUGAUUGGUUGUGAGGGACUCAAAAUGGGAAUGUCUCCAAUCCAUAAACAUGUUCUGCUGUGGGUAGAAAUUCCUGAAGUUCUGAACAAUCCAGAGGUCUUCCAAGCCCAAAUGUGGGCUGCCCGAGGCCCUGUCUAGACGUUAUCUAGACGUCAGCUUGGUUGAUAUGAUGAUACCAAGACAUAUACAACCCUCAAAAUGAAAUUUGAUUAAACAGUACCAUGUUGUUAACUAGAGAAUAAAAUUUAAAUUAUUUUUAAAAGAAAAGUCAUUUUUUUUCCUCGACUCAUUCCCUCCAUCCCUAUAAAAUAGUGAACACCUAUCCUAAUCUGAGAGCAUUGCCAGGAAACCCAAGGCCCCUGCAGGUAUGGGAUUCCUCUUUGAAUGGAUCUGAAACCAGUGGCCUCAUAUCACUUCUGAAACGUGUCACAUGGCAUUCAUUCAUUUGUUCCCCUUUAAGCAAAGUUCAUCCAGAACUGGAUGUCCCACAGAGGUUGGCAGCCACCACCAGGACCAAGAGUCUCCACUGAGCUCUCUUUAUUCUUUCUGUCACACAUACAGUGGUGUCACCAGGUCCUCUAGCUGCCCUGCCCUGGGCAGCACAGCCACUUCUCAUUAAGAAGAAGCUUAGGGCUAGUGGCCCAUGUAAUCCCUUCUACUCUCUUUCAUGUCUGGGAACACAUGGCCCCUUUCAGCCUCACAGCCUCCAAGGGGAAUGAGAGGGUCCUGGAUCCACUUGAUUUAUCUUAUGUGAGCCAGUGUAGGUUGUUGGUUGAGAGCCUCCCUCUGAAAUGCCUGUCUGAGUUUUGGUCCCGGGCCUAGUGCUUCCUAGUUACAUGAUCUGAUGCAAAAUAUUCAGCUUCGGGCUGGAGAGAUGGCUAAGCGUUUAAGAGAACUGGCUGCUCUUCCAGAGGUCCUGAGUUCAAUUCCCAACAACCACAUGGUGGUUCACAACCAUCUGUAAUGAGAUCUGAUGCCCUCUUCUGGUGUAUCUGAAGACGACAGCUACAGUGUACUUAUAUAUAAUAAAUGAAUAAAUCUUUUAAAAAAAAUUCAGCUUCACUGCACCUGCAGCUGCUCAUCUGAGGCACGAAGAGACUAAAGUAUUAGCGGGAGGCAUGCGCAAGAAUGUACGUGGAUAACACAGAGACUGGUGGUGGUGAACACACACUGAGUGCUGGGUUCCAACCCGUCAUAUCACGGUGAUGGAGACUGGUCCUAAUAACAAUACGUAGGUUUCCUGAGGGUGAGGAUAAGGCAGCCUCAGACUAGGUAGUGUCGAUUCUCCAGGCUCUAAGAACCUUAGGACCCCUUGCCUGUCUUUUAGUGACUGGGGUAGUUAUAGACCAGAAAAGCAGAGGAAAGUUAAAGGCAUAGCAGAACCUCAGCUACUCUGGCGCUCAGCUCUGGGAUUUUCCUAGCACGUGCUCUGCCUUUUUAAAGGAGCAGUUUAAUCAAAGCCUUAUUGUCUACACUGUAGAAAGGCUCUGAGAAUGAACCAUCUGGGAGGUGUAGAAGCAGCACUAUCUUUGUAGAUUUUUGGAUACAGAAGUGCAGUACAGGCUACAAGGUAUGCAAGUGUCAGGGCAGGUCUUUAGCCCUGUCAACAGCUCUACGAACAGAGGUUAGAUCUUAGCUUCUAUGAGGCUCUUUUUGUCUUCUAGAACAGUAGUUCUCAACCUGUGGGUCAUGACCCUUAUCACAGAGGUCAUCCAACACCAUUAGAAAACAGAUAUUUUCAUUACAGUAGCAAGGUUACAGUUAUAAAGUAGCAACAAAAAUAGUUUUAUGGUUGGGGGUCACCACAACAUGUGGAAUUGUGUUAAAGGGUUGCCUUUGGGAAUAAGCAGUAGGAAAGUUGAGAACUACUGCUUUAGAACAUGGGGGAGCUAAUGUCUUGCUCAUCUGCUAGGCAUCCAUGAAGUAAUAAACAUGAAGCUGUUGCCCAUAUAUUGGAUUUAACAAGAACAAUAAUAAUUUAAUUUAAAUUUAAAUUUAUUUUAAUGAUUUUAAUUUAAAUCAUAUCAAACCAACAUAUCAAAAUAUGUUGCUUCAUUACAUAGAAAUUACAAUUUCUUCUUCUUUUUCUUCUUCCUCUUCUUCUUCCUCUUCUUCUUCUUCUUCUUCUUCUUCUUCUUCUUCUUCUUCUUCUUCUUCUUCUUCUUCUUCUUCUUCUUUUCUUUUCUUUUCUUUUUGAGACCUUGGCUGGUCUGGACUUUGCUGUGUCUACCAGGUUGAAUAAUUCAGGGAUCCACUUAAUACUGAACUAGGAUGCCUCUCUACUCUCUAGUUCUGGGAUUAAAACUGUGUGCCACCAGACCUGGCUGGAAAUUCUCUCUCUCUCUCUCUCUCUCUCUCUCUCUCUCUCUCUCUCUCUCUGUGUGUGUGUGUGUGUGUGUGUGUGUACGAGAGAGAGAGAGAGAGAGAGAGAGAGAGAGAGACUUAUCUUCAUUAUUGUCAUGUCUCCAGAGUUCAUGUGUUUUGGCUUAUUCCAUUGUUUCCUAGUAGGGAUAAGGGAGCCCUUGGCUGGACUGGCCAGCAAGGAAAGAGGGAGCCAUAUAGGAAUAUGAGAACUUGACUGGGGCCAUCAGGACGUUGCACACUGCUAUGCCGAGGGUCAACUGAUGCUUUUAGAGAUGACAGUGAAACUCUGGCAGUUUUGACGUUAACCUCUUACUAGCUUAAUGCAUAAGGUGCCAUGAGCAUCUGCGAAUUCAAGGGCCUCUAGGAGUAGCUCGUGCUCUAUAGUGAGACUUCUUUGGAGACUGGUCUCCAAAUGGUGAUUCUGCACAGUUGCAUAAUAUAAUUCUCUCCCUGUUGGUCCCUUAUACCUGACCACUGGCCAUAUCUUCUCUACCCUUCCACCUUCCAAACACAGAUAUCCUGUUGCAGUGGCCUUCUGGAUUUCUAAAACACACAUCUGGUCAAAGCACUUCUGUAUGAAAAGUUAAGCAUAUUGGGCAUUUAAAGUUCUUCAGAAAUUGGAUCCUUCCUACUAUUUUGGCCAUCACACUCUCAUGCUAAUCUCCUGAGUCACGAUGUUGGAGGCAUGUCAGAGGGUGGAAAAUAUUUAAAUACCUUUACCCACUGCUAGAAUUUUUAUACUCCAGGAGGAGACCCCUCUUCCUUUUUAGAAUCUGUAAGAAAUGUAAAGAGAUAGGAUCCUACAUCUUCUGCCUAAUUCUUAUGCUACCAGCUAUCUAUGAUGUUGACUCAGAUGUUGAUUGGCCGUGCCUGACUUCCUUAGUAUUUAUUCUGGGUUCUAUGAAGGUUUUCUAUGUACAAGACCACAUCAGGUCAAGGAACCUGAACUGGCUGCACUUGUGGACACCAUGACAGAAGACAGAUAGGUACAGAUAGCAUCAUGCUUCUGGGCAUGAAUGGGGAUGAAUUAUACACUCUUCAGGCAGAGAGGAGGAAGGCAUGCGACCUUCUCACAUGACUAUGAGGAACGUUACUGACUGAGUACAGAGGCCCAGAGGUGUGGAUAUGUGAGUAAUAAAAUCUUCAAUUAUUAUGAUCACUAUAAUUCUACUAACAUUUCUCAGAGGUUGUCACUUCAUAAGAAAGAAAUUGAAGCUCAGGGAAGUUAAGGAACUUGACUGGGGUUUAAAUAUACUCUAGGUGGAUGCUUUUAACUCCUGACUGAGUUCUACUUUGGAGACAAGUGAUCUACUUGAUUAAAAGAGGCUGAUGCUGUGGAUGUAGAAGGGAAGAGAUGGGUGAUAGAGAUAAACACGUAUUGAUUGAAUAAUAAAAUUGAAAUUAACUCUAUAUAAAAAGCUCUGGUGUUAUCAAGAUUAUGUCUCUGAAAUGGAGUGACAACUUAAGGGGCCUCAUAUAGAUGGGUGUGUGAGUGCCAAAAUCAUAGGACUUGGGGUAGCAGCCUUCAGUCAAUGCAGGAACUGUACUUGGGGAUUUAUCUGCCAGCCAAUGCUCUUCCACUAUGCCAGACAGACCCCGUUUCUGGAUUCUUUUGGUCAAUUUUGUCCUCUUGACAUUGUGUUGUAGUGCCAGGGAAGUGUUUGAUCCCCCACCCCCACCCCUAAAACAC